CCUUACAAGCUGAAAAUAUUUUCUUUUUUCUUGAUCUUAGUCUGCAUCAUAUUGAACAAACAGAAGCCUGGAGUAACGCGAUUUGAAUUUUAAACUGUAUCACAGCCUCACUUGACACAGAUUUCUGAUUGGUUGAUCACAGUGGGAGGGAAAACUCAGUGGUUGACGUCACCAACGGGCCGGAAUCUGCAAGCGGGAGAAGUGCAGAGAACGAUAGACUUUUGACGAGCGCUUGUCGUAUUUUUUCUGCGUUUUAAUAAUCCGUGGGAUGAAUCUCCAACCCUUUUUUUGCUUGUCUAGAAAAGAUUCAAGUAAAAUCUUUGAAGUUUGAACGGUGAUCUAAAUUCUACAUGUGAAAAUGAGUGAAUCAGAACCCAUGUUCCUCCACACUGCCAUUAUGGAGGUCCUACCAGAGCCACAAAAGACAUCCUGGAAGAACACUUGCAGUCCAUUGGAAUAAAUGGAGUUGUAUGACGAUCUACGAUUCAUAGAAGAGGCUGACUUGCUGCCAGCUUUGAGACCUCUUCAAGCCCGGAAACGUCUUGCUUUCUGGAAAUUUAAAUACCAAACGCCAGAGAACAGCACAUCAUCAUCUGUUGAGACCUCACCAACACAAUCAUCGUCACUUUUGUUAUAGUCACCGAGGAGUUCGUCAUCCACAUCUUCCAGAAGCCAAGGACUGUACGUACAUUGACUGGGAGGACAGCUUUGAAAUUCCAUGGAUUUAAUGAGGAGGAUGCCAUGUUCUUGUAGAAGAUGCAGACGAGGUCCAGCUGCAGCAGGUGCCGUUGACUCCAACUGUUAUUGUAUGUGGACAGUCUUGCUUUUCCCCAAGGAGGUUCAUGCUCAGUUGGGACCGCUCCAUCGUACACAACAACAUUGCAGCACUGUGCCUGAUGUUCAGAAGCUACUUCUGCUUUAACAGUCAUUAUCCAACUGAGCUGGCUUCAACCCUGGAGUUUCUGCAAAGCUGAUGUCCUAAGAUGUGCCACUCUACCUGGUUGGGAACAAAUUGAAGAGGCCAAGCUCAAGAAAGCCGUUGUCAACAAAUGUAGGGCCAGAACAGGUUCUAAGGCCACUGCUAUGAUCUACAGUAUGCGGACUGGUUUCUCUUCCAUCUUUUUUCUUAUUUUUUAUCUUAAUUUGGUUCUCAAAUUGGUUCAUGGAUUUGGUAGGCUGCAAGUUUCAGAGAAUGUUUUUAUCAGGUACUUUUUUACGUGGUUACAUAAUCUUGUUUUUUUCCUUGUACCUCAGCAGUGAUGUCAGUGUGUUUGUUGUUUAAAAUCUGGAAGUUUUCUUUACCAUCAUGUCAGCCACAUUUAGUACGCCACGGUUCAUGUACUUAAUGCAUUUAAUAUUUUAAAAAAUGUGUAAUACUGCUACCACAAUUCAAAUGCUGUACUGAUGAUGGUGCUGCCCAAAUAAAGUGUAAAGCAUUUACA